rnacentral:rRNA from 1 species
GAUGAACGCUGGCGGCGUGCCUAAUACAUGCCAGUCGAGCGAACAGACGAGGAGCUUGCUCCUCUGACGUUAGCGGCGGACGGGUGAGUAACACGUGGAUAACCUACCUAUAAGACUGGGAUAACUUCGGGAAACCGGAGCUAAUACCGGAUAAUAUAUUGAACCGCAUGGUUCAAUAGUGAAAGGCGGUUUUGCUGUCGCUUAUAGAUGGAUCCGCGCCGCAUUAGCUAGUUGGUAAGGUAACGGCUUACCAAGGCAACGAUGCGUAGCCGACCUGAGAGGGUGAUCGGCCACACUGGAACUGAGACACGGUCCAGACUCCUACGGGAGGCAGCAGUAGGGAAUCUUCCGCAAUGGGCGAAAGCCUGACGGAGCAACGCCGCGUGAGUGAUGAAGGUCUUCGGAUCGUAAAACUCUGUUAUUAGGGAAGAACAAAUGUGUAAGUAACUAUGCACGUCUUGACGGUACCUAAUCAGAAAGCCACGGCUAACUACGUG